rnacentral:rRNA from 1 species
GACGAACGCUGGCGGCGUGCUUAACACAUGCAAGUCGAACGGAAAGGCCCUGCUUUUGUGGGGUGCUCGAGUGGCGAACGGGUGAGUAACACGUGAGUAACCUGCCCUUGACUUUGGGAUAACUUCAGGAAACUGGGGCUAAUACCGGAUAGUAGCUCCUGCUGCAUGGUGGGGGUUGGAAAGUUUCGGCGGUUGGGGAUGGACUCGCGGCUUAUCAGCUUGUUGGUGGGGUAGUGGCUUACCAAGGCUUUGACGGGUAGCCGGCCUGAUAGGGUGACCGGCCACAUUGGGACUGAGAUACGGCCCAGACUCCUACGGGAGGCAGCAGUGGGGAAUAUUGCACAAUGGGCGGAAGCCUGAUGCAGCAACGCCGCGUGCGGGAUGACGGCCUUCGGGUUGUAAACCGCUUUCGCCUGUGACGAAGCGUGAGUGACGGUAAUGGGUAAAGAAGCACCGGCUAACUACGUG